GGGAGGAGGAAGAGGGACAGGGAGGAGAGAGAGCAGAAGCAGGAAGGAAGGCAAGCGCAGGCGGAGAGAAGGAAAGAGAGGCAGGCUGUGAAUGCUAACAAGCCCCGUGGUAAUCGUCCACUGCUUCCCAAACGUGUUGUAAUGGGGAGAAACGACUGGUAUUAUUAAGCUAGCUACUAUGCACGAGCGCCUCGAUCUCCUCCCCGUGCGCGUGCUGCUGCCUGGCAGCCAUCGGCACGUUUGAUUUUACGAUUAAAACAGAAAAAAGCAAGCAAGAAAUCGUCUUUUACCCCCGCGGAGUGAAAUGUAUCGCGACUGCUCUGGGACCACAUUGUGACAAUGGAGAUUGAAAACAUCGUGGCCAACACGGUUCUCCUCAAGGCGAGAGAAGGUGGAGGAGGGAAGAGGAACGGUCGCAGUAAGAAAUGGAAGGAGAUGCUAAAACUACCACAUAUCAGCCAGUGUGAGGAGCUGCGUCGCAUUAUUGAAAGGGACUAUACCAGUCUAUGUGAGAAGCAGCCCAUCGGCCGGCUUCUAUUUCGUCAGUACUGUGACACCAGGCCAGAGCUGAAGCGCUGCAUCGAAUUUAUGGACGCUGUGGCCAUGUAUCAGCUAGCUCCUGAUGAGAAGCGGAGGGACUGCGGAUUGAAUGUUUUAGACACUUACUUCAAUAAUGGGUCAGCAGCCCAUUUGCCUGGUGUACCCCAAGAUGUGGUCGCUGGGUGCCGGGAAAGACUUGAACAAAGUCCUUGUAAGGAGCUCUUCAAUGACUGCACCAAAAUAGUUCGUGAUUAUCUAAGUGGCGCACCGUUUUCCUCCUACCAGGAGUCCAUGUACUUUUCUCGCUUCCUGCAGUGGAAAUGGUUGGAAAGGCAACCAGUAACCAAAAAUACCUUCCGACAUUACAGAGUACUAGGAAAAGGUGGAUUUGGCGAGGUUUGUGCCUGCCAAGUGCGCGCCACCGGUAAGAUGUACGCCUGUAAAAAGCUGGAAAAGAAGCGAGUGAAGAAAAGAAAAGGUGAAGCAAUGGCACUAAACGAAAAACGAAUUUUAGAAAAAGUUAACAGUAGUUUUGUAGUUAGUUUAGCAUAUGCCUAUGAGACCAAGGAUGCUCUGUGCCUGGUGUUGACAAUAAUGAAUGGUGGUGACUUAAAAUUCCACAUCUACAACAUGGGCAACUCUGGCUUUGACGAGCAGAGAGCCAUCUUUUACGCUGCUGAGAUCUGCUGUGGCCUUGAAGACCUGCACCGUGAGAGAAUAGUCUACAGGGAUUUAAAACCUGAAAACAUCCUUUUGGAUGAUCGUGGGCACAUACGCAUUUCAGAUUUGGGUCUUGCUGUGCAAAUUCCUGAAGGAGAGACGAUACGAGGGAGAGUAGGCACUGUUGGAUACAUGGCUCCUGAGGUAAUCCAGAAUGAGAGUUACACCUUCAGUCCAGACUGGUGGGGUCUGGGUUGUCUCAUCUUUGAGAUGAUCCAAGGCCAGUCGCCCUUUCGUAAGCGCAAGGAGCGUGUCAAGCGGGAGGAAGUGGACAGACGGGUGCGUGAGGAUCAGGAGGAGUACUCAGAAAAGUUCUCCGAAGAAGCAAAAGAUAUCUGCCGACAGCUGCUGGCUAAAGAUCCUAAGAGUCGUCUUGGUUGUGGGGGUAGCGGCGCCAUAGAGGUCAAGCAGCAUUCUAUCUUCAGGAACAUCAACUUCAAACGAUUGGAGGCAAACAUGCUAGAACCUCCUUUCAGUCCUGAUCCACGUGCUGUGUACUGCAAAGACGUCCUUGACAUCGAGCAGUUCUCCACUGUCAAAGGUGUGAACCUUGACCCCACCGAUGAUGACUUCUACCACAAGUUUGUCACAGGAAGUGUCUCCAUCCCGUGGCAGAAUGAGAUGAUUGAAAUGGAGUGCUUCAAAGAAAUCAAUAUCUAUGAGACUGAUGGGACAUUAUGUCCAGACCUAGACAUGAACCGGCCUAACCCUCCACCAAAGAGAGGCUUCUUCUACCGCCUGUUCAGAAGAGAGGCAAGUGCUAGUGCUCCAGCAACUCUUCGAGGGGGUGGGGGCUAAGCUUGGCUUCUAGUACCUAUUUCUGACGUCCUUCUGAACAUGCUUGCGAUUGCUUCCUUUGUUAAUGCAGGUGUGUUUUAAGAGCGGUUACAGCGAUGAUGAGUUCGAAGAGCCCUCACGACUUUAAGCCACUCUCUUCGCCCCCCAAAUCCACCCCUCGCUGAUCUUCACCAUAAACUCCAGCGAGUGCAAAUUUUAGGAACUCAGUGAAUGUUGACCUGUAUUUAUGAGCUGUAUUAAAAGUGUAUUAUAAUUAAAGAAAAAAGUAUGAGUUUAAAGAUUUUGUACCUUUGUACUUGAAUUUAUGUCUAGAUGUAUAUUUUCACUAAAGGUUGUAUUGUAUAAAAAGCCAUAAAAGUACCACUUGAAUGCAUACAUUACAUUUUCAUUUUGUCUUUGGGAAUGAGUAUGGAUAAUGUUUCUAUGGGCAGUUUUUUUUUUUCUUUUCCAGAAGCACAGUACCAUUUGUCUUUUUUCAAUGUAGCGUAAGGCAUUUAACUCUCAUUUUACAUGUGCUCUAUGUUUAGCAUUGAUUUGAUGACUUUUUUUUUUUUUUUUUUUAAUGAAUCUCAAAUCAAUCCCAAAUCCAAUCCAAUUCCUCAUUAAUCCCUGUGGCUCAGGUAGAUUUAAAUGAAUUCUUUCAAUUAUAGAGAAAAUAAUAUGUUAAUAAUUGCUGUUUUGCCACCGACCAGUUUUACAGCACAUCACACUCCAUCCCCCAAGUCCUUCCUGCCCCCACCUCUUGAUUGUUGGUGAGUUAUGGAACUCCUAACAAUUUGUGCAGAUCUUGACACCAUUUUUUAACGUUUGGCUAGCAUGGGUUCCAAUUGCCUAUGUAAACUUGUGCCGAGCAGAUAACCCCCACCCAACAGUUUUUGGUCAAUGUCCAACAAAAUGCCCUCUCUAAUCCAAAACAUUUGAAUUCAGAGUCUUGGACAGUAGUCAUUUCAGAUGUCUGACCUUUCCCCUCUGGAACACAAUUUUUAGAAAAAACUACAUUAACAGGCAAAACCUAUUUAUCACUACUCACUAAUAAUAAUUAUCAUUUUAUGUUUUUUCCCUCCCAUCCCCUUUCAAUAUUUUGUGGUCCAACCUUUUUGAUGGCAUAGUAUGACAACUCUAACCAACAGUUGACAAUUAUUUCUUGGUAAACCACCUCUGUUGAAUGAAAAAUCAUAGACUUCUCUAUCAGUUGGCGGGGCUCAGGGCCGAUCCGUAGGGGGCCUAUUUCAAAAACUUAAAAUUGAAAUAUUUUAAAAGUCAAAGCCGCUAGCAGCCUAGAACCUAAACAGACACCUCCCUUAGGCAUAUAUGAGUCUCCAUGAGCAGCGACAUAAAUAAAUUCAAAGUCGCUCCCUAAUAAAAUCCUGAUUAGUUAUUUUUCUGUACAAGUAUAACAAAACUUGAUUGCUAUAAAUGGCUAUAAAAUUCUCAAAUUUUACGCUAGAUACACGCAAAUGAUAAUCACCUAUAUUUUCAGGAUCAAUAGCAAUAUUUUACAUAAGUUUUUGCCCAAAAUAGCAACUUGUUUUUUGUUUUUUUUAAUUUAGUACAAGUUUUUAAUUUUCACAUCAGAAACUUAAUACAUAAGGAAAGCAUGUACAACCAUCCUAAUUUUACUCAAGAAAAGCAAAAUUUGCAUUUUUCUAUAUACAAUCACAACUUAUUUGGGUGAAAUUCCACUAUUGUGUAGAGAUACAAAAUCCAACAUGUAACAUAUAUUUUCUAGAUCAAUUAACAUAUAAAUUUUUGCCUUAAGUAGCAACUUAAUUUUUUUAUUUAGUGCAGUUUUGACAUAGGUUUUAAAAAGCUAAUAAAUCACUCAAUUUUCACCUCAGAAACAAUAUUUGAUUUUUCUACAUACAAACACAACCUAUUUAGGUUGAAUUCCGAUGUCAUUAUUGCCUCAUCUCUUCUUGCCGGCUAUCUGGCCCUCGUCGUUUUAGAUGUUACAUAAAAUAAAACGCAUAAAAGCGAAAAAAAAAAAAAGUUUUGUAUGGAUACAGAAAUGUCUAAAUUACUAGUUUAUUUAACAAACAAACAGGCAGUUGGCUGAAAAUUACCAGAUUAUUUGAAAUCCAAAAUGGCGGCUAUCACAAAACAAAGAGCUUUUUAAAGUUGAAAAUUCUAAUAAAUAAAUGCUUAAAUCGCGAACUUUCUACAGAUAUGAACACAAAACAGUGUAGAUUCUUGGUUAAAAGCAAAAAACCGGGCAGUUAUCAUUCAUUUUACGUAAGUAUUUCAAGCUAAAGUUACAGCACUGUGUAAUCUAACAUGGCUGCCGUCACGAAACAGAACUUUUUAGGUUGAAAAUUCUUGUAAAUAAAUGCUUAAAUCGCUGACUUUUUACAAAUAUGAACGUAACCGUCUAAAUUCUCGGUUAAAAAGCAAAAAAACGUGCAGUCAUCGUUCUUUUUAAGUAGAUAGUUCAAGCAAAAGUUUCGGUAUUGUGUAAUCCAAAAUGGAGGCCGUCACGAAACAAAGAGCUUUUUAAGUUGAAAAUUCUUGUAAAUAAAUGCUUAAAUCGUGGAAUUUCUUUAGAUAUGAACGUAAAACACUCUAAACUCUUGGUUAAAAGCAAAAAAACGGGCAAUUAUCAUUUAUUUUACGUAAACAUUUCAAGCUAAAGUAAGGCUAAUUGUUUCCCUUGAUUUCAUUGUAUUCGCAAUGUUUCAAAGUACAUGCAUGGAAUGAAAAAUAUAGUAAUUUCCUUGAAUCCUCCAACAAAUCAAUCUUCCUGCCUUCUUGUAUGCAGUAAAACAUUUGUCCUAUUUCAACUUAAAUCCGGCGUUAGAACGCUGCAUGUUUGAGUUUAUCACAGUGAAACCCAAUUCAACUUCUGCCUAGGUCCAGCCCCCUACGGGAAGGCGUGGCGCAAUGUCUGUGGGAGCUGUCUUGUCAACUGAUGGUGGAGUCUAUAGAAAAAUCUACCAUCAUUCUGUCAUUAGCUAGUAGUCUGCACAGAAGCAAAAAUAGAGCUUUUGUGCAGUAAAAUAAAUAGUUGACCACAUACAGUAUCCUACUAGUAGAGAAUGUGCAGCUAUAUUCAGUGACUUAAACUGUGUUUAUGCUAGUUCAAGAGAACUUUGUUGUAAUAGUGCACAAUGUUUACUCUUCAAUGUAAGGCAUACAGUAGUAUGUAAUCGCCUAGAAUUGACUUUGAGGUGCGUUCUUAUGUGUUGAUGACGGCAGAACUGCAGAAUUUGAAACCCCCUUGACUUCCAACAAAAUUGACUGCAGGGCUUAUUUGAUUUAAUUCUAAUUCGGACCUGAUUUCCAUUUGUGUGGUUGAUGUCAGAUUUAAUUUGAAGUUUGGAGAUGUCCUUUUGAGGUGGUCAAAGUCAUUUCCGACCAUCUAGUUUUAAUGCUGUGAAUACUCCGUUGAUCCACAUUAGCUUUCUGUGUACAAUGUGUCAUUAAAGUGCAGCUUUUGUUCAGUUCAAAGCAUAAAAUCAAAUUUGAUCAAAAGUAUAGGGAUCAAUGCUGUUUGUUGUGUCAUCGAGGGACUUUAAUUUGUGUGCACAGAAUUUCCGUAAUAUAUGUGAAUGCGUGUGCAUAUAUAUCACGCCUUCUUAUUUGGUAUUCUCUUGACCCUCUUCCCCCAUCUUCCCCACACACACGCGCACACACAAAUGUCCGCCAUGCACAUUCCAUUUUGAUGAUUCAAAUGUGCCAUGUAUCUUUUGCUGGAAUUUUUUUUUUUUUUCUUUCAAUAUGUUGCUCUCAGGCAUGCUCUGAAGCUGACUCUUUUGCCUUUGUAGAUUUUAGCCUUUUUAGUACUUCUAACCUCAAAAACUAUGUAGAUUUGAAACUAAGCUGUCAACCUCAGUUGCUCUCAUGGGGAAACUGACUGCACCGUAGUCACCGGCAAUGGUCAGUAUUUACUCCUUCACCUAACAUUCAUUGCACUAGGAUGUAUAGUUUUUUUUGCCAAUGAUACCAAAAGAAAAUUGAAUAAAAUGUAUAUUAUCUGAAAAAUUAAGUCAAGUCAGACCAUCUUCAUAGUUUGUGCCAUUUGCAAGAAGUACAUUUAUGACACCUUUCACCCUCUUCAUGCAUCUUUCCGUCCAUUUUAAGAGGAAAUCUUUCACAUACAGAAACUUUUAAACUGCUCAAAGGUUUUGAAUGUCCGCACUAAGUGCAUUGUUAAUGCCUGUUUUAAAGAACUAUGUUUUAUUGCGCAAGCAUGUAUUGGUUUGUAAUACAUCAGGUUCCUUGUAUAUGUAUAUGAUGACUUUUUAGUGCCAACAUAUCUCUUGUGUCUGGGGACAGUUUAAAAUGACAAAGUGACCUGCAGAGAUGGCCUCAUUUGAAUACAUGGAAUGCUUUCCAUCUCUGAUUGGGAUUCAACAUUUCCAAACUCGGAACAGCCUCAGCAGUAAGACUUAAGGGGGAAAUAUUGGGUCUGGUCAAAGGAAGCCUGGAGAACCACUUGGGUUUUUUGUUCUGUCAAGAUGUGCCAGUGGGAUGAUUAUUCAAGGAACGCUUUGCUUGUAUUCCAACCUGGCUAGGACUUUUUAAUUUUUCUCCCCUUUUAUACCUGUACAGUCAUCUUGUUCAACCACUGCAGUCAUUGUUAAUUCUUGUACAAGUUGUAUCACUGGUUGUUGUACCAUAUCUUACAUUUGUAAUUAUGAAACAAUACACUGCCAUUUGUAUAAAAUAUACCUGUGUCCUGACUAA